UGAGAAAAUUUAUUUUCGUUUUUUUUUUCAUUUUGUUUUUUGUUUUUGAAUUUAUUAAUAUGAACAAGGAUGUAUAUGAACAUUUUUCCCGGGGCUCGGACUAUAGCUCUGAGACGUGAUCUGGACGCCAUGUCAGUUUUCUAUGAAGAACGAAGUGCUGCCAACAGACGUAAACACUUUAAACUAAUGGAGGCACCAAUGCCAGGUUUGAGCUUUUUUUUUCAUGGACUUAUACUAAGCGCAUGCGAACACUUUGCUAUUGACUUUAUCACAAGAAAAUAUGAACUAAGCCAUAACAGUGCUGGUAAUGGGAAUGGGGAUGGAGAUGUGCUGUUGCAAAUCGCCGGGCGUCUACCUCAAAAUUAUAUAGUUCGAAAUUCUCGACUAAUGGGUAAAUGGGGAAUCGAGGAGAAUUCGUCAAACCUUUUUUUCCAAUUAGUGCGGGGCAAGUCCUUUUGGAUGCAGGUCCUUCUUACAGAGGAAUCGUUUUACAUAUCAGUAAACGGAUUUCAUUUUGUGGAGUACCACCAUCGAUUACCUUACAGGUGGUUGGUGGGCAUAGAUGUUCAUGGAGAUGUGUCAGAUGUUGUGGUUAACAAUUUUUACGUAAACGAGUAUCCCAUUCUCCUAUCUGAAACAUUAGCGCGUCCAUUAGCCUGUGUGUAUAACUCACCCGUAAUUCAAUGGGUCGAAGACGGACGUUUUCUGCCGCGUGAAUGGCUACGCGUAGAUGAUGCUAUAGCCACGAUGAAAAAACUGCACAAAAUACAUCGAUCUCAGAUAACGCUUCCAUUUUACGGAAGAAUACCCGAAAUUGAGAAGCUUACUGAAGGACGGGCGAUCCGCAUUGAAGGCAGAGUACGAUUAAUGCCCCAGAGUUUUAGCGUGACCCUGCAGCGGGGUCAAGAAGUAUGGCCCCAGCCUACAGCAUCGUUUUUCUUCAGUCCUAGCUUCCUACGUAACUGCCGUGAUAAACUAGGAAAAGCUAUUAUAACCAGAAGUGCUUUUUUGAAUGGGUGUUGGGUGAAUCGCGAAGUAACUCGUAUGCAUACAAAUUUGAGACCUGGAAGUGCUUUCGUCAUUAUCAUUGCAUGUCGUCAAAGUUACUACGAAGUAUUUGUAAAUAGUGAAAAACUUUUAAAGUUCAAGCAUCAAAUGAAUCCAGACAUCGUUGAUAUUGUAAAUAUUCGUGGAGAUAUUAGGCUCUGGGAAGUUGUGAUCGAAAGUUUUGCACAAAGUACAGCUCGGUUGGCUAUUGGCCGUGCACUGGCCAACUUGCGGUAAAUGUAUCAAUAUGAACAAUUAUUAUUUGCACUCAACGGCGGCCUGUCAAAAUUCAUGUAGAACAAAUUUAUGGAAAACCUUGAUAUACCGCAUGCACUGAAAACAACGUCAAUAAAGUGGAAUAUGCUGCAUGAUUCAAAGUCGUUGUUUUCUCUGAGUGUAUGUUCAUGGACUAUAUAUAUGUUUAAAACGACUGCAAGAACGCCUGCCACGUACGUUUUAAGUAGAUUUAUGAUUUCAUCUUUGCCCAACAUAGGAUUCUGCAAUUAAAAUAGCGCAGCCUCAUAGGGUAUGAUCUGUGUGCUCUUCCACGGCGCUUCAACUCAUAAAUGUCAAUGCGCUCUUGCUGUCAACUUCAACUGGGCAACUGCCAUAUGCAGCAUCGACAUACCAGAUACAGCCCCAGACCCAGACUCGACCCAAUCGAUCGUCAGAAGUGGUCCUCUGAAAUUGAUUAUUAAAAAUGAUAAUCGAUUAAGGACGCAGCUCUCCAGCGGGCCCAGCAGGCUGACGUUUAUGUCUACAUAUGUUUAGCAAGACAGUUGACAUUGUUUUUGGAAUGGCCUAUACAAAAAAGUUAAAUAAAUAAAAAUGCAGCGGCAGUGUCAGCGAAAUGGCAAUGCCGAAAACGUUCAAGUGGACGUCAAAUAUUUCCCAAGGCUUGCAAAAGGAAGUCGAAGACAAGACUGCCAAAGAGCAAAAAAAAUAUUAUUUAUGUUCCAAGCUCGGACGUGCUACGCAUGCCUCGGUCCAUUUUUACUAAUGAAGUGGAUCAUUGAUUGCCUGCUUCGGUUUUCAUUGUGCAAUCUACAUUCCUAUAGAUAACUAAAUCUAUAUCCUCUGUAUUUCUAAGCGAUACAUAGUCAAUCCUUUGAAGCCGUAAUGUUAAUUAGAUACAAAUAUAUCUAUGUAUUAAAGAAAGUUUACUUAACUACCUCGAUUCAUCCAACACUGGACAACUGCGUGCAAAAAUGCUGAUCAGGACAUGUCUGCGAUGGCUCUACUGGUUAACUGACUGCACCCAUUUGCAGUAAUUAAUCAAAUUCGAAAUUAAUUAUGCGCACAUGGGAGGCAGCAGCAGUGAUUGGCCUCAAAUUCACUCGCGUUGGCAGCGUUGCAAUUAAAAUGUCGUCGCACCCGAAAAAAAAUUCAAUUCCACAGUUUAUGUCGGAUCCCUAACAUCACAAAUGCCUGCUCCAGCUGAUGUCGUCGCUGUCUUAUACGUCUCAUAAUUAACUCAGGUGCUCGUGCUGCGACUGCAUUAUUUUGUCUUUGGGGCGCCUCUUUUUUAUCCUUAUUCGCAUUAUUUUACACAUAUCUCGGCCAGUGGUGCAAUUUGUCAGGACUGAUUAUGUCAUUAACUUGAGUAGAGCUUGAUUUUUCUAGAUAACCUUUUAGCAAAACCAUAGCAGUUGGAUGGCAAUAUUUUCUGAUAAUUUUACCACUUAUUAGAAUUGUAUUGUAAAAUUUGCAUUAAAAAGCCAAUUACAGGCAUAUUA